CUGUUGAGAGGGUAAGCAGCACCAAGUUCCUGGGUGUGCACAUCUCAGAAGAGAUCUCCUGGUCAAAAAACACAACAUCACUGGUCAAUAAAGCCCAACAACUACUCUACUUCCUCUGCAAACUGAGGAGAGCAAGAGCCUCAACCCCCAUUAUGAGCACUUCUACAGAUGCACCGUUGAGAGUAUCCUUACCAGCUGCAUCAAUGUGUGGUAUGGCUCCUGCACUGGGUCCUGCCGGUAAAGUUACUACGGCAUCUGCUUCUGCAUAAAAUAAAGCCCUCUGCAUUCACCUGUUCCUUCUGAACCCCCACCCCCCCAGACAUAUGUAACCCACAUAAAAAUCUGAAUCGAAAUCUUAAAUUCCAAUCGGAGCGUGUCCGUGAAGGCAUCGCGAUGCGUCAUGACGCACGCCACGCCGCGAGUCUGCACGUGCCUGUUGUGACCAAUCACAUUCGGGUGGCACUAAUAUAUGCCUUCCGGGUUGUCGCCUCGAAAAGAUGCGGGGGAGAGGCGGUAGCGGAUGGAAGCAACAGGUACGUGGGCGAACGCUCUUCGCUGUUUAUUAUCUUCUUGUCUUUGAAUUAAUUGUGGAUUGCGUUCAACAGUACUUUGAUAUCGCCGCGGGUAGAUGCGUGGGGGCUCGUAUGUGACAUCGCACGUAGUGAAUGUGCAGGCUAGUGGUGCCUUGGGGAGACCACAGCGACACCACUACUUUGGAUGGCGAGCUAGGCCCAACGAGCCAGAACCCCAGCUACAACUUCCUGCGGUCUGGUAGGAGGCUGCUGUGGCCUACACUCUCCCCCCCUGGUUUUCAGUCCUCUGAAUCUCACUUCUGGGAUCUCAGUCUUGGGAUCUCAGUUCUGAUCAUCACACUUCCAAGUUCAAUCUGUUACAGACUGUCAUGCGCAUUGGAUUUAUAUCAAUCAUGAAAUAGCAAUUUUAUGGACAUUGUCUGCCGGGGGUUGGAGGAGGUUGCUGCACCAUUGUGCAGCUGAUAUUUUACAAGCUUGAAUUAUGUUUUAUCUUGUCCUGUCUGCAGAUUCUGUAAAUAUUGGUAUUUGGUAAUUGCACUUUAUUUUCACUGUAAAUAACAACCGUAAUCACAAUACCUGUUGUGGUUGUAUGUUUAUUAUACUUCACUCACCUCCCAGAGCCGAAUCUGAUAUCUUCUGAAUUAGGUCAACUACUCAUAACUAACUCAAUUUAGCUUACCUUAUGUACUUGCUACACAUACAAAACUCUGAACCUCCAACAUCGCCCUUUCAGUGACUCCCCUACCCCACUUGCACACGAGGUUCUUGCCCUUUUUCUCUUUAUGUUGUUUCGUGUACACUGAGGGCCGUGAGAGCACUGCAAUUUCAAAUUCCUGUGUAUGAGCUGUACAUAUGGUUUUUGAUGAUAAAGCUGACUUUGACUUUGAUUACAUGCUGCAUCUUGUCCUGC
rnacentral:lncRNA from 1 species